UACAGAGGGUGCAAGCGUUGUCCGGAAUCACUGGGCGUAAAGGGCGCGUAGGCGGCCUGGUAAGUCGGGGGUGAAACGCUGCGGCUCAACCGCAGCACUGCCUUCGAGACUGCCUGGCUCGAGCACAGUAGAGGCAGGUGGAAUUCCCGGUGUAGCGGUGGAAUGCGUAGAGAUCGGGAAGAACAUCGGUGGCGAAGGCGGCCUGCUGGGCUGUUGCUGACGCUGAGGCGCGACAGCGUGGGGAGCAAACAGG
rnacentral:rRNA from 1 species